GCCUACGGGGGGCAGCAGUGGGGAAUAUUGCACGAUGGGGGAAACCCUGAUGCAGCAACGCCGCGUGAAGGAAGACGGUUUUCGGAUUGUAAGCUUCUGUUCUUAGUGAAGAAGAAUGACGGUAGCUAAGGAGCAAGCCACGGCUAACUACGUGCCAGCAGCCGCGGUAAUACGUAGGUGGCAAGCGUUGUCCGGAAUUACUGGGUGUAAAGGGAGCGCAGGCGGGAAGCCAAGUCAGCUGUGAAAACUACGGGCUUAACUUGUAGACUGCAGUUGAAACUGGUUUUCUUGAGUGAAGUAGAGGU
rnacentral:rRNA from 1 species